AACACAUAUUUUUUUUGAAAGAAGAAACUGAUGGAAGACAGGAAGCAAAAAGGAGAGGAAGGAAAGGGAUAGGAAGGAGGGGAAGGAAAGGGAAAGGAAGGAAAAGAAAGGAAAGUGAACUUGAAAUCCUACAAGGUCUCAAAGUCAAAAAACAUGAUUGCUGUUUUAGAGAAUUGAAGAUCCUUCAUCUUCAAGAAUCUGAAAUCUACCAUGAUCUUCACAUGUAGCCAAACACAAUGGGAUGUAGUCAUUUAAGAGUGCUGUGAAGGCAGUGUAUGUGUACACAGAAGCCCAAAAGGCUAAAAUUGGGUGGAGAAGGAGAGAAAGUUGGGUAAAAAAUGAAGUCAUCAUAGUUGGGUGGACAGAUACUUGAUCAGUGGGCCAGACACACCACCACAUGACCACGGCAAAGCGGCAGACAUCACUCCAUCCUUGGUCCCACAUUUUAAGAGAGAAAUAGCAAUAACUGUUCCAAUUUUAUCUCCUGCAUAUUUGUUAAGGGAUAAUCUACAAAACAGGCACAUCGACUUGGAGGUCGUAGAUGAAAGCUAACUGACUAUAGAGCACUAAAUUUUUAAAUUCCAACCCAAAGACAAAUAGACUUCAUAUUUUACAUUACUCUGAUGUGGAAUGAGAAAAGAGCUCUAGUGACAUUUCAAUUUAUCAUAGCUAAUCAUAUGAACAUUAUUAUAUAAAUGGGGAUUCUAAAGCACUAGGUUUUAAAAAGCCUUAAAGGAUAAUUUUAAAAUACCCUCAAAAAUGUA
rnacentral:lncRNA from 10 species